AAACCGUGUUGUGCGCAGGAAUUGACGAGAUCAUUGAAUCGCUCCCAACAUUAGAAGAAUGUUUCAUCUUCCUUUUGGGAGAAGUUUAUGAUCGACUUCCUGAUGGU